rnacentral:rRNA from 1 species
CCUACGGGAGGCUGCAGUGAGGAAUAUUGGUCAAUGGGCGAGAGCCUGAACCAGCCAAGUCGCGUGAGGGAUGACUGCCCUAUGGGUUGUAAACCUCUUUUGUCGGGGAGCAAAACCCGGACGUGUCCGGCUGUUAGAUUACCCUUAUAAAAAGCAUCGGCUAACUCCGUGCCAGCAGCCGCCGUAAUUCGGAGGAUGCGAGUGUUUUCCGGAUUUUUUGGGUUUUAGGGGUGCGCAGGCGGCGUGUAAAGUCAGCGGUAAAAUGUCGGGGCUAAACCCCGGCCGGACGUUGAAACUGGCGUGCUCGAGUUGGAGAGAGGUAUGCGGAAUUCGUGGUGUAGCGGUGAAAUGCAUAGAUAUAACGAAGAACCCCGAUGGCGAAGGCAGCAUACCGGCUCCACACUGACGCUGAGGCACGAAAGCGUGGGUAUCGAACAGGAUUAGAUACCCGAGUAGUC